AUUCCAGCUCCAAUAGCGUAUAUUUAAGUUGUUGCAGUUAAAAAGCUCGUAGUUGGAUUUCGGUUAAGAGCGACCGGUCCGCCGUUUGGUGUGCACUGGUUGGUUUUAACUUCCUGUAGAGGACGUGCUCUGGGCUUAACGGUCUGGACUCGGAGUCUACGUGGUUACUUUGAAAAAAUUAGAGUGUUCAAAGCGGGCUUACGCUUGAAUAUUUCAGCAUGGAAUAACACUAUAGGACUCCUGUCCUAUUUCGUUGGUCUCGGGACGGGAGUAAUGAUUAAGAGGAACAGUUGGGGGCAUUCGUAUUUAACUGUAAGAGGUGAAAUUCUUGGAUUUGUUAAAGACGGACUACUGCGAAAGCAUCUGCCAUGGAUGUUUUCAUCG
rnacentral:rRNA from 1 species